CAAUCGCCCAAUUGGGAGCACUUAUCCUCCUGUUCAGCUCCCUCGCGCGCACCACAGUGAUGCCGGAGCCGGAAUACGAUGUCAUUCCGGCCCCAGCAUCACUAUGCGGCACGCAAGGGAGCUGAGCAGAGAGCUCAGGGGAAAGUGCUCCCUCGCUGACAGCACUGACCAGCCGCCCACCCAGCAGCCCCACUGUACUCCAGGGAAAGUGAUAAUCCACCCCAGCAUUCCCAAAGGUAGGGAGGUUGAGGGGAUGGAAUUUUAAAAAAAAUGUGAGUGUCUAUUUAUGAGUGUGUGUGUGUGUGUCUGUUAGUGAAUGUGUGGGUGUCUGUUAGUGAGUGUGUG